UUUCCUACGGGAGGCAGCAGUGGGGAAUAUUGGACAAUGGGCGCAAGCCUGAUCCAGCAAUGCCGCGUGAGUGAUGAAGGCCUUCGGGUCGUAAAGCUCUUUUACCAGGGAUGAUAAUGACAGUACCUGGAGAAUAAGCUCCGGCUAACUCCGUGCCAGCAGCCGCGGUAAUACGGAGGGAGCUAGCGUUGUUCGGAAUUACUGGGCGUAAAGCGCGCGUAGGCGGCUACUCAAGUCAGAGGUGAAAGCCCGGGGCUCAACCCCGGAACUGCCUGUGAAACUAGGUGGCUAUAAUCUUGGAGAGGGCAGUGGAAUUCCGAGUGUAGAGGUGAAAUUCGUAGAUAUUCGGAAGAACACAAGUGGCGAAGGCGACUGACUGGACAAGUAUUGACGCUGAGGUGCGAAAGCGUGGGGAGCAAACAGGAUUAGAUACCCUUGUAGUCUC
rnacentral:rRNA from 1 species